rfam:Brassica oleracea var. oleracea cultivar TO1000 chromosome C1, whole genome shotgun sequence
UCUCAGUGAUGAACAAAACAUAGAUGACGAGUCCGAUCAAUCCAUUCUUUAAAUUCGUAGUGACAAACGAGGCAUUUGUCUGAGAGGA